AUUGAACGCUGGCGGCAUGCCUUACACAUGCAAGUCGAACGGUAACAGGUCUUCGGAUGCUGACGAGUGGCGAACGGGUGAGUAAUACAUCGGAACGUGCCCGAUCGUGGGGGAUAACGGAGCGAAAGCUUUGCUAAUACCGCAUACGAUCUACGGAUGAAAGCCGGGGACCGCAAGGCCUUGCGCGGACGGAGCGGCCGAUGGCAGAUUAGGUAGUUGGUGGGAUAAAAGCUUACCAAGCCGACGAUCUGUAGCUGGUCUGAGAGGACGACCAGCCACACUGGGACUGAGACACGGCCCAGACUCCUACGGGAGGCAGCAGUGGGGAAUUUUGGACAACGGGCGAAAGCCUGAUCCAGCCAUGCCGCGUGCAGGAUGAAGGCCUUCGGGUUGUAAACUGCUUUUGUACGGAACGAAAAGCCUCUUUCUAAUAAAGAGAGGUCAUGACGGUACCGUAAGAAUAAGCACCGGCUAACUACGUGCCAGCAGCCGCGGUAA
rnacentral:rRNA from 1 species